GAUAAACCUCUUCGGCUCUGGUCUGACACUCCCGAAGCUCGCUCGCGCCUCGCUCUCUCUCUCGCUCUCGCCUCCGUUGAUUCUCUUCAUCGCAAUGCACUCGCGCGGUACGCAUUCCACUGCUUAGCAUCAUGAAUUCCGUCACCACUCCAUUCCUCUCGCCGCAAACCUGGCAGACGUCGCCGUCCCCGACUGGUUUCCGCUUCAGCUCCGCCUUCCCUAACCGCAGGCGGCUCGCUUCGAAGCCAGUCAGGAAGCGGUGGAGGCCUCGGAAAUGCGCUGCCCGCCUGCAGGCGUUUCGGCUCGUCGAGCCUCUCCGGAGCUCCAAAUGCUGCGGCGAGGAGACGGCACGGGUUCCAGAAGCUUCCGAGACCUUGGGUCGAGUAAUCCAACGCGUAGUGAAGCCGUUGGCUUGCGCGGUGUUCUUCAUAGCGGUAGGUUUCGCCCCGUUUCGCCGAGUUCAGGCCCCUGCCGCCGCGGCCGUGCUGAAUUUGGAGAAAAUGGAGGAGGGGUCUGAAGUGAAAGGGCAUGAGUAUUCGAAUUGCACGAAAAGAUUGUUGGAGAAGGUUGCUGUGGUUCUUAGAUGUAUGGAUGAGAUUAGGAGAGGGGAGGGGGGCGUGAAGGAGUUGGAGGCGGCGAUGAAGGUGGUGAGAUUGGUAAAACGGCAAUUGCAGGAGGAGAUAAUGCGUGGUAUGUAUGAGGAGCUGAGGGAACUGAAGAGAGAGAAAGAGGGGUUGAUUAAGAGAUCAGAGGAGAUUGUUGUUGAGGCGACCAGAGCGAAAAGGGAGAAUGAGAAAACAGCUGCAAAAGGGGGUGAAUUUGAGGAGACUUUGAGCAAAUUGGAGGACGAGUAUGAUAGAGUUUGGGAGAGAGUUGGGGAUGUUGAGGAUAGUAUAAUGAGGAGGGAGAUGGUUGCAAUGAGUAUUGGAGUGAGAGAGAUUUGUUUCAUAGAGAGAGAGUGUGAAGCUCUGGUUGAGAGGUUCAAGAGGGAAAUUUGGCGAAAGAGUACCCCUGAUAGUGUGCCAUUAAACUCCGAAACCAAGCUUUCGAAGUCUGAUAUUGAGAAAGAUCUGAAAAUUGCUCAAAGAAAGUACCUGGAACAAAUGAUUCUGCCAAGGAUUGUGGAGACUGAAGAUUUUGGUCCUCUCUUUCAUCAAGAUUCAGUAGAUUUUUCUCUUCUUAUAAAACAAGGCCUUAAAGAUUCUAGGGAGCUGCAGAGGAGUCUAGAGGCUCGCAUUAGAAAAACCAUGAAGAAAUUUGGUGAUGAGAAGCGUUAUAUUGUAAAUACACCAGUUGAUGAAGUUGUCAAGGGAUUUCCUGAGAUCGAGUUGAAGUGGAUGUUCGGGGAUAAGGAGGUCGUGGUUCCAAAAGCGAUUGGGCUCCAUUUGUAUCAUGGGUGGAAGAAGUGGCGUGAAGAAGCUAAGGCAGAUCUAAAGAAAAAACUACUAGAAGAUGUAGAUUUUGGGAAAGAGUAUAUGACCCAACGGCAGGAACAAAUUCUCUUGGACCGAGAUAGGGUGGUGUCCAGAACCUGGUACAAUGAAGAGAAAAAUAGGUGGGAAAUGGAUCCCAUAGCUGUACCUUAUGCCGUAUCCAAGAAGCUUAUAGGAAGUGCACGGAUCAGACAUGAUUGGGGUGCUAUGUAUGUUGCUCUGAAGGGGGACACAAAGGAAUAUUAUGUCAACAUCAAGGAAUUUGAAAUGCUGUUUGAAGAGUUUGGGGGCUUUGAUGGGUUGUACCUGAAGAUGCUUGCUUCUGGGAUCCCUACUGCCGUUCAACUUAUGUGGAUACCAUUCUCAGAGUUGAAUUUUCACCAGCAGUUCCUUUUGACGACGAGUCUCCUCCAUCAAUGCUUAAUGGGAUUGUGGAGGACUCGAGUCAUAUCAUAUGCCAGAGGCUGGGUUAUUGAAAAAGUCAAAGACAUAAAUGAUGACAUAGUGAUAAUGAUAUUUUUUCCCAUUGUCGAGUACCUAAUCCCCUACCCGGUAAGGAUGCGAUUGGGAAUGGCAUGGCCAGAGGAAAUCGAUCAAACUGUUGGCUCAACAUGGUACUUGAAGUGGCAAUCAGAAGCAGAAAUGAACUUUAAAUCCAGAAAAACGGAUGACCUCCAAUGGUUUUUGUGGUUUCUGAUUAGAAGUGCUGCAUAUGGAUAUAUUUUGUAUAAUGUGUUCCGGUUUUUGAAGAGAAAAGCCCCUAGACUUCUUGGUUAUGGGCCUUUACGUAGAAAUCCAAACGUGCGGAAGUUUCGGCGAGUGAAAUACUAUAUACAGUAUAAAAUAAGAAAAAUCAAACAGAUGAAGAAGGCUGGGAUAGAUCCUAUCAAAACUGCUUUUGAUGGAAUGAAGAGGGUUAAAAAUCCGCCAAUACCGUUAAAGGAAUUUGCUAGUGUCGAAUCAAUGAGAGAGGAGAUCAAUGAAGUUGUUGCCUUCUUACAGAAUCCCCGUGCUUUUCAAGAAAUGGGCGCCCGUGCACCUCGCGGUGUUCUUAUUGUGGGUGAGAGGGGAACUGGAAAGACAUCUCUAGCAUUGGCUAUAGCAGCGGAAGCUAGGGUGCCCGUUGUUAAAGUCGAAGCCCAGCAGUUGGAGGCUGGACUAUGGGUUGGACAAAGUGCGUCAAAUGUUAGGGAGUUAUUUCAGACAGCCAGGGAUUUGGCACCCGUAAUAAUAUUUGUUGAGGAUUUUGACCUUUUCGCUGGUGUCCGUGGCAAGUUCAUUCACACUAAAAAGCAAGACCAUGAGGCUUUCAUCAACCAACUUCUUGUUGAACUUGAUGGAUUUGAAAAACAAGAUGGUGUUGUCUUGAUGGCCACAACUAGAAGCCUCAAACAAAUUGAUGAGGCAUUGCGGCGACCUGGUCGGAUGGAUAGAGUCUUCCAACUGCAGAGGCCAACUCAAGCAGAAAGAGAGAAGAUACUACGAAUUGCUGCUAAAGAAACAAUGGACGAUGAGCUCAUUGACUUUGUCGACUGGAGAAAGGUGGCCGAGAAGACUGCUCUUUUACGACCUGUAGAACUGAAACUCGUUCCUGUGGCAUUGGAGGGAAGUGCAUUUCGGAGCAAAUUUGUUGAUGAAGAUGAACUUAUGAGCUACUGCAGUUGGUUUGCGACCUUCAGCCAUAUGGUUCCUAAAUGGGUUCGGCAAACAAAAGUUGUGAGGCAGAUUAGCCGAAUGCUGGUGAAUCAUCUGGGGCUGACAUUGACUGAGGAGGACAUGCGGAAUGUUGUUGAUCUAAUGGAACCAUACGGUCAAAUUAACAAUGGAGUUGAACUUCUUAAUCCUCCACUUGAUUGGACAGAGGAAACCAAGUUCCCCCAUGCUGUUUGGGCAGCGGGUCGUGGCCUUAUAGCUCUUUUACUACCUAACUUUGAUGUUGUCGACAAUUUGUGGCUUGAACCAUCUUCGUGGCAGGGAAUUGGCUGUACAAAGAUCACCAAGGCACGGAGCGAAGGAUCUGUAAAUGCUAACUCAGAGUCAAGAUCAUACCUUGAAAAGAAGCUUGUAUUUUGCUUUGGUUCAUAUGUUGCUUCACAGCUUCUACUUCCUUUUGGGGAAGAAAAUUUUCUUUCUUCAUCUGAACUGAAGCAAGCUCAAGAGAUAGCGACAAGGAUGGUCAUUCAGUAUGGAUGGGGGCCUGAUGACAGUCCUGCAAUUUACUAUCACAGUAAUGCGGUUACUGCUUUGAGCAUGGGGAACAACCAUGAAUAUGAGAUUGCAGCUAAAGUUGAAAAGAUGUAUGAUUUGGCUUAUUACAAAGCAAAGGAAAUGUUACAGAAAAAUCGUCGAGUUCUUGAAAAGAUUGUCGACGAGUUGCUUGAGUUUGAAAUCUUGACUGGAAAGGACUUGGAAAGGAUGCUCGAAGAAAAUGGUGGAAUGCGGGAGAAAGAGCCAUUCUCCCUUGUUCAACUUUUUAAUGGACAGCCGGUAUCUAGCGGCUUCCUUGAUGAUGGGAAUGCAUCAGGAACUGCACUGUUAGGCACGGCAACCUAGUAUCGAGGAUACGAUAAUCAGCCAUUGAUCUUGAUCUUGACAAGCACUUGAAGAUCGAAGGAAAUUCUACUUAUCUUUGUUUAGACCAUUAAUCUCAUGACAGACUAGCAAAACAAGAAAAGGUGGAACUAUGGCCCGCGUCUUAGACAGCUUCCAAGCAAACUCGAAAUUGAGUAGAAACAUGGUGAUUAAUGCGCAGUAGAUGGUUUCAACUGGAUGUGAAGAUCGAUACCGUGAAGUUAAUCAUUGGAAGCACAAACAGGGUGAUCGAAUGAGGCACCAACUUUUCCUCCGUGUGCGAAAGGUCAUUCUUGUGCUGGUCAUAUGAUGGAUCGCGUGGAGACCGUGUUUUGUGCCCAUAUAAGGACCUUAGGGACCAUGUAAUGGCCAGACAAGAAAGAGGGAGGGCACCUCGUGGAUUCAAUCAUCAUCAUAAUCGAUUUGUAUCUUUUAGCUUUGUUUUGGUAGAGCAACAGUAAUUACUACAUAAGGCCAUCCAAGAAGGGCAUAAAAAGGAAGGGGUGCUAAGGGCUCGUAUGGCGAUGC